GAGUAACGCGUAUCCAACCUUCCCUAUAGUAGAGGAUAGCCCGGCGAAAGUCGGAUUAAUACUCUAUGUUUCCGUUGCAGACAUCUAAGAUGGAACAAAGGCUUGCCGCUAUAGGAUGGGGGAUGCGUCUGAUUAGGUAGUCGGCGGGGUAACGGCCCACCGAGCCAUCGAUCAGUAGGGGUUCUGAGAGGAAGGUCCCCCACAUUGGAACUGAGACACGGUCCAAACUCCUACGGGAGGCAGCAGUGAGGAAUAUUGGUCAAUGGGCGAGAGCCUGAACCAGCCAAGUAGCGUUGCAGGACGACGGCCCUAUGGGUUGUAAACUGCUUUUGUGCGGGAAUAAAGUUUGGGACGUGUCCCAUUUUGCAUGUACCGCACGAAUAAGGACCGGCUAAUUCCGUGCCAGCAGCGGC
rnacentral:rRNA from 1 species